rnacentral:rRNA from 1 species
AGCUCCACUAGCGUAUAUUAACGUUGCUGCAGUUAAAAAGCUCGUAGUCGGAUCUCGGGAUCGUGUCGGUGAUUUGGUUGCUUCUCCUGCGUUUCGGCGCUGGGGGUUGUGGCCGGUCAUCGGCCCUGCCGGCGAGGUCCCUACCUUUGGUGGGGUUCCACCUCGCUCGUGCAGCCCGCCGUCGCGAUUUGGCGGGUGUCCUUAAUUGGGUGCCCGUCUCGGUCGUGACCCGUUACCGUGAACAAAUCGGAGUGCGCAAAGCAGGCUCUCUAUCGCUCGAACGGUAGCGCAUGGAAUAAUGGAAGAGGAUUUGCUUCCGCUUCUGUUGGUCUCACGGAGGCAGGUAAUGAUCAAGAGGGACGGACGGGGACAGAGGUAUGGCUCGGCGAGAGGUGAAAUUCUUGGACCCUAGACAGACCCUCGAGAGCGAAAGCAUCUGUCAAGGAUGUGUCCA